GGAGAUAUGGCUCAAUUUGUAAGAGCACUUGCUUUGCAAGUAAGAGGACCUGAGUUCAAAUAUCCUGCAUCUAUG
rnacentral:tRNA from 1 species